rnacentral:rRNA from 1 species
AUUGAACGCUGGCGGCAGGCCUAACACAUGCAAGUCGAACGAGGGGCGGACGGGGGAGUAAUGUCUGGGAAACUGCCCGUUGGAGGGGGAUAACUACUGGAAACGGUAGCGAAUACCGCAUACCAUCGGAUGUGCCCAGAUGGGAUUAGCUUGUAGGUGAGGGAACGGCUCACCUAGGCGACGAUCCCUAGCUGGUCUGAGAGGAUGAUCAGCCACACUGGAACUGAGACACGGUCCAGACUCCUACGGGAGGCAGCAGUGGGGAAUAUUGCACAAUGGGCGCAAGCCUGAUGCAGCCAUGCCGCGUGUGUGAAGAAGGCCUUCGGGUUGUAAAGCCCUUUUGUUGGGGAAGCGGUACCCAAAGAAUAAGCACCGGCUAACUUCGUGCCAGCAGCCGCGGUAAUUC